rnacentral:rRNA from 1 species
AAACCAACAGGGAUUGCCUCAGUAACGGCGAGUGAAGCGGCAAAAGCUCAAAUUUGAAAUCUAACGCCUUCGGUGUUCGAGUUGUAAUCUGAAGAACUUUUUCUUGAGUAUGUCUUUAUCUAUGUUUCUUGGAACAGGACGUCAUAGAGGGUGAGAACCCCGUAUGAUUUGGACCUCUAUUCGUUGUGGAAUUUGUUCGAAGAGUCGAGUUGUUUGGGAAUGCAGCUCUAAGUGGGUGGUAAAUUCCAUCUAAAGCUAAAUAUUGGCGAGAGACCGAUAGCGAACAAGUACAGUGAUGGAAAGAUGAAAAGAACUCUGAAGAGAGAGUGAAAAAGUACGUGAAAUUGCUGAAAGGGAAGGGCUUUAGGUCAGACUUGGUGUUUAAUGAUUAUCUUCUCUUCUUGAGUUGUGCACUCGUUUUCCACUGGGCCAAUGUCAGUUUUGGCGGCAGAGCACCUCUUGGAAUGUAGCUAUCCUUCGGGUUAGUGUUAUAGACUUGAGACGAUCUGUUUGCCGGGACUGAGGACUGCGCAUUAUUGCUAGGACAUUGGCGUAAUGACCUUAAGCCGC